GUAUGCUAGACUUUUUUACAUA
rnacentral:miRNA from 1 species